rnacentral:lncRNA from 1 species
AGGGGACACGUCUGUCUCACUGUGUCCCUGCUGCAGGGCCCACCUGACGGAGACUCCCAGGGAGUGACAUACGCCCAGGUGGAGCACUCAGGACUCAGGAGGGGCGGGAGCUCCCCCCUCCCCCCGCUGUUGGGGCAGCUCCUGGGCACAGAGGACGCAGAGGACAGACAGACGGACACUCAGGCUGCUGCAUCUGAGGGUCCCCAGGAGGUGACCUACGCCCAGCUGUGCAGAUGGACACUCAGACGGGGGGCCGCUGCCCCUCCCUCCUCCCAGGAAGAGCAGCGCCCAGUGGAGCCCAGUGUGUAUGCUGCUCUGGCCCCCGCUAACCCCGGAGCUGCCCCCAAGGACACUCCCUAGUGGCCCAGCCUCCACAGACACCUCAGGAACCACCAGGGGACUCUGGGGACUUAGGGCACCUUGUUCUGCAGCUGUAGAUAGUGACACUGUGAUCCUCCAAAUAAACCAAGGAGUUGUCAGUCAUCC